rnacentral:rRNA from 1 species
GGUGCCCGUACCGCAAACCGACACAGGUAGGUAGGAAGAAGAUUCUAAGGCCAACGGGAGAAGGGUUGUUAAGGAACUCGGCAAAUUGACCCCGUAACUUCGGGAGAAGGGGUGCUCCAGAGAUGGAGCCGCAGAGAAUCGGCCCAAGCAACUGUUUACCAAAAACACAGGUUUGUGCUAAAUCGAAAGAUGACGUAUACGAGCUGACGCCUGCCCGGUGCUGGAAGGUUAAGAGGAGAUGUGCAAGCAUUGAAUCGAAGCCCCAGUGAACGGCGGCCGUAACUAUAACGGUCCUAAGGUAGCGAAAUUCCUUGUCAGGUAAGUUCUGACCCGCAUGAAAGGCGUAAUGAUUUGGGCACUGUCUCAACAGCCCGCCCGGCGAAAUUGUAGUACCGGUGAAGAUGCCGGUUACCCGCGACAAGACGGAAAGACCCCAUGGAGCUUUACUGUAGCCUAAUAUUGGGUUUCGAUGUUGCAUGCACAGGAUAGAUGGGACUCUGGGAAACCAAGGCUUUGGCUUUGGCGGAGAGGCCGUUGGGAUACCAUCCUUGCGAUAUUGGAAUUCUAACCUGCGCCUUUGAAUCAAGGCGGGGGACAUUGUUAGGUGGGCAGUUUGACUGGGGCGGUCGCCUCCUAAAGAGUAACGGAGGCGUUCAAAGGUUCGCUCAGCUUGAACGGAAAUCAAGCAAAAGAGUGCAAACGCAGAAGCGAGCCUAACUGCGAGACUGACGGGUCGAGCAGUAACGAAAGUUGGAGUUAGUGAUCCGGUGGUAUGUGAGUGGAAAUGCCAUCGCUCAACGGAUAAAAGUUACCCUGGGGAUAACAGGCUGAUCUCCCCCAAGAGUCCACAUCGACGGGGAGGUUUGGCACCUCGAUGUCGGCUCAUCGCAUCCUGGGGCUGUAUUCGGUCCCAAGGGUUUGGCUGUUCGCCAAUUAAAGCGGUACGCGAGCUGGGUUCAGAACGUCGUGAGACAGUUCGGUCCCUAUCUGUCGUGGGCGCAGGAUAUUUGAUGGGAGCUGUUCCUAGUACGAGAGGACCGGAGCGGACGUACCUCUGGCGCACCAGUUGUUCUGCCAAGAGCAUAGCUGGGCAACUAUGUACGGAUCGGAUAAACGCUGAAAGCAUCUAAGCGUGAAGCCGACCCAAAGAUAAGAUAUCCCAUUGUUUCAAACAAGUAAGACCCCUUGAAGACUACAAGGUUGAUAGGCACGAUGUGUAAGUGGAGUGAUCCAUUCAGCAAGCGUGUACUAAUAGGUCGAGGGCUUGACCAC